UACAGAGGGUGCAAGCAUUAAUCGGAUUAAUUGGGCGUAAAGAGCGCGUAGGCGGGACUUUAAGUCAGAUGUGAAAUCCUUGGGCUCAACCCAAGAAGAGCAUUUGAAACUGGAGAUCUUGAGGGUAGUCGGAGAAAAUGGAAUUCCACGUGUAGCGGUGAAAUGCGUAGAUAUGUGGAAGAACACCGGUGGCGAAGGCGAUUUUCUAGGUUAAACCUGACGCUAAUGCGCGAAAGCAAGGGGAUCAAAC
rnacentral:rRNA from 1 species